AUACCAUGCUGAAUAUACCGGUUCUCGUUAGAUCACCGAAGUUAAGCAUCAUUGGGCGCGGUCAGUACUUGGGUGGGUAACCACCUGGGAACACUGCGUGCCGUU
rnacentral:rRNA from 1 species